rnacentral:rRNA from 2 species
GGGUUGUGAGGUUAAGCGACUAAGCGUACACGGUGGAUGCCCUGGCAGUCAGAGGCGAUGAAGGACGUGCUAAUCUGCGAUAAGCGUCGGUAAGGUGAUAUGAACCGUUAUAACCGGCGAUUUCCGAAUGGGGAAACCCAGUGUGUUUCGACACACUAUCAUUAACUGAAUCCAUAGGUUAAUGAGGCGAACCGGGGGAACUGAAACAUCUAAGUACCCCGAGGAAAAGAAAUCAACCGAGAUUCCCCCAGUAGCGGCGAGCGAACGGGGAGCAGCCCAGAGCCUGAAUCAGUGUGUGUGUUAGUGGAAGCGUCUGGAAAGGCGCGCGAUACAGGGUGACAGCCCCGUACACAAAAAUGCACAUGCUGUGAGCUCGAUGAGUAGGGCGGGACACGUGGUAUCCUGUCUGAAUAUGGGGGGACCAUCCUCCAAGGCUAAAUACUCCUGACUGACCGAUAGUGAACCAGUACCGUGAGGGAAAGGCGAAAAGAACCCCGGCGAGGGGAGUGAAAAAGAACCUGAAACCGUGUACGUACAAGCAGUGGGAGCACGCUUAGGCGUGUGACUGCGUACCUUUUGUAUAAUGGGUCAGCGACUUAUAUUCUGUAGCAAGGUUAACCGAAUAGGGGAGCCGAAGGGAAACCGAGUCUUAACUGGGCGUUAAGUUGCAGGGUAUAGACCCGAAACCCGGUGAUCUAGCCAUGGGCAGGUUGAAGGUUGGGUAACACUAACUGGAGGACCGAACCGACUAAUGUUGAAAAAUUAGCGGAUGACUUGUGGCUGGGGGUGAAAGGCCAAUCAAACCGGGAGAUAGCUGGUUCUCCCCGAAAGCUAUUUAGGUAGCGCCUCGUGAAUUCAUCUCCGGGGGUAGAGCACUGUUUCGGCAAGGGGGUCAUCCCGACUUACCAACCCGAUGCAAACUGCGAAUACCGGAGAAUGUUAUCACGGGAGACACACGGCGGGUGCUAACGUCCGUCGUGAAGAGGGAAACAACCCAGACCGCCAGCUAAGGUCCCAAAGUCAUGGUUAAGUGGGAAACGAUGUGGGAAGGCCCAGACAGCCAGGAUGUUGGCUUAGAAGCAGCCAUCAUUUAAAGAAAGCGUAAUAGCUCACUGGUCGAGUCGGCCUGCGCGGAAGAUGUAACGGGGCUAAACCAUGCACCGAAGCUGCGGCAGCGACGCUUAUGCGUUGUUGGGUAGGGGAGCGUUCUGUAAGCCUGCGAAGGUGUGCUGUGAGGCAUGCUGGAGGUAUCAGAAGUGCGAAUGCUGACAUAAGUAACGAUAAAGCGGGUGAAAAGCCCGCUCGCCGGAAGACCAAGGGUUCCUGUCCAACGUUAAUCGGGGCAGGGUGAGUCGACCCCUAAGGCGAGGCCGAAAGGCGUAGUCGAUGGGAAACAGGUUAAUAUUCCUGUACUUGGUGUUACUGCGAAGGGGGGACGGAGAAGGCUAUGUUGGCCGGGCGACGGUUGUCCCGGUUUAAGCGUGUAGGCUGGUUUUCCAGGCAAAUCCGGAAAAUCAAGGCUGAGGCGUGAUGACGAGGCACUACGGUGCUGAAGCAACAAAUGCCCUGCUUCCAGGAAAAGCCUCUAAGCAUCAGGUAACAUCAAAUCGUACCCCAAACCGACACAGGUGGUCAGGUAGAGAAUACCAAGGCGCUUGAGAGAACUCGGGUGAAGGAACUAGGCAAAAUGGUGCCGUAACUUCGGGAGAAGGCACGCUGAUAUGUAGGUGAAGCGACUUGCUCGUGGAGCUGAAAUCAGUCGAAGAUACCAGCUGGCUGCAACUGUUUAUUAAAAACACAGCACUGUGCAAACACGAAAGUGGACGUAUACGGUGUGACGCCUGCCCGGUGCCGGAAGGUUAAUUGAUGGGGUUAGCGCAAGCGAAGCUCUUGAUCGAAGCCCCGGUAAACGGCGGCCGUAACUAUAACGGUCCUAAGGUAGCGAAAUUCCUUGUCGGGUAAGUUCCGACCUGCACGAAUGGCGUAAUGAUGGCCAGGCUGUCUCCACCCGAGACUCAGUGAAAUUGAACUCGCUGUGAAGAUGCAGUGUACCCGCGGCAAGACGGAAAGACCCCGUGAACCUUUACUAUAGCUUGACACUGAACAUUGAGCCUUGAUGUGUAGGAUAGGUGGGAGGCUUUGAAGUGUGGACGCCAGUCUGCAUGGAGCCGACCUUGAAAUACCACCCUUUAAUGUUUGAUGUUCUAACGUUGACCCGUAAUCCGGGUUGCGGACAGUGUCUGGUGGGUAGUUUGACUGGGGCGGUCUCCUCCUAAAGAGUAACGGAGGAGCACGAAGGUUGGCUAAUCCUGGUCGGACAUCAGGAGGUUAGUGCAAUGGCAUAAGCCAGCUUGACUGCGAGCGUGACGGCGCGAGCAGGUGCGAAAGCAGGUCAUAGUGAUCCGGUGGUUCUGAAUGGAAGGGCCAUCGCUCAACGGAUAAAAGGUACUCCGGGGAUAACAGGCUGAUACCGCCCAAGAGUUCAUAUCGACGGCGGUGUUUGGCACCUCGAUGUCGGCUCAUCACAUCCUGGGGCUGAAGUAGGUCCCAAGGGUAUGGCUGUUCGCCAUUUAAAGUGGUACGCGAGCUGGGUUUAGAACGUCGUGAGACAGUUCGGUCCCUAUCUGCCGUGGGCGCUGGAGAACUGAGGGGGGCUGCUCCUAGUACGAGAGGACCGGAGUGGACGCAUCACUGGUGUUCGGGUUGUCAUGCCAAUGGCACUGCCCGGUAGCUAAAUGCGGAAGAGAUAAGUGCUGAAAGCAUCUAAGCACGAAACUUGCCCCGAGAUGAGUUCUCCCUGACUCCUUGAGAGUCCUGAAGGAACGUUGAAGACGACGACGUUGAUAGGCCGGGUGUGUAAGCGCAGCGAUGCGUUGAGCUAACCGGUACUAAUGAACCGUGAGGCUUAACCUUACAACGCCGAAG